UACACUCCUGCGGGAGGCAGCAGUGGGGAAUAUUGCACAAUGGGCGCAAGCCUGAUGCAGCCAUGCCGCGUGUAUGAAGAAGGCCUUCGGGUUGUAAAGUACUUUCAGCGGGGAGGAAGGCGAUAAGGUUAAUAACCUUGUCGAUUGACGUUACCCGCAGAAGAAGCACCGGCUAACUCCGUGCCAGCAGCCGCGGUAAUACGGAGGGUGCAAGCGUUAAUCGGAAUUACUGGGCGUAAAGCGCACGCAGGCGGUCUGUCAAGUCGGAUGUGAAAUCCCCGGGCUCAACCUGGGAACUGCAUUCGAAACUGGCAGGCUAGAGUCUUGUAGAGGGGGGUAGAAUUCCAGGUGUAGCGGUGAAAUGCGUAGAGAUCUGGAGGAAUACCGGUGGCGAAGGCGGCCCCCUGGACAAAGACUGACGCUCAGGUGCGAAAGCGUGGGGAGCAAACAGGAUUAGAUACCCCUGUAGUCCCAUGAU
rnacentral:rRNA from 1 species